CCGGACUCCAGACUCCGAAGGGCGCGCGUUGCUGGCGCUUCGCGGGGGAGUCGCAGAGCCCCGCGGCGGUUCCUCUGGACUUCGGACCUGGCCUGCUGGGUUGGAAUCUCAUCUCCGCUCCUUCCUAGUUCUGGGCCAGGCCUCCGGCGGUGUACAGCAGGUGUUUCUGGGAAGUGUGUGCCCCGGACUCACUGCAGGAGCUCUUCUCCUUAGGUUGGAGAAGAUGGAGGGGAAUCAUUCCUUAUCAUAGAGGGGCAUCCUGGAGGCGACUGGGAGGUCUCGCUCGGCUAAGAUCAUUUACGUGGAGUUCCUGAAGCCACAUUCCCAUGUUCCUACGCUUCCAUGCCCGACUCACUCACUCACUCACCUCACCUGGAAGCCAUGGAGUUGCAACUCAGGUUGAGAAACAAGACGUCCUGUUACUUCUGAACUGAGCUGAUCGGUUUCCACAGACAGGCGUGAUUUAAUCAAUUGUCUUGCAAGGAAAGCAAAGUUUCAUCAAACUCCAAUGUAUUUUCACCACACUAUUCUCCUUCUCUCAUGCAUCUUGGACUAAAAUAAAACAAUGUAGGUUCCACAAACAUUUGGAUGAAUAUAGUCACUUAUCCUGAAGACCACUUUGACUGCACAGGUUUUCCUUUCUCCCCCCACCUUGUCCAG
ensembl:lncRNA